rnacentral:rRNA from 1 species
GUGGGGAAUAUUGGACAAUGGGCGAAAGCCUGAUCCAGCCAUGCCGCGUGUGUGAAGAAGGUCUUCGGGUUGUAAAGCCCUUUUGUUGGGAAAGAAAUCCUGUCGGUUAAUACCUGGCGGGGAUGACGGUACCCAAAGAAUAAGCACCGGCUAACUUCGUGCCAGCAGCCGCGGUAAUACGAAGGGUGCAAGCGUUACUCGGAAUUACUGGGCGUAAAGCGUGCGUAGGUGGUGGUUUAAGUCCGUUGUGAAAGCCCUGGGCUCAACCUGGGAAUUGCAGUGGAUACUGGAUCACUAGAGUGUGGUAGAGGGAUGCGGAAUUUCUGGUGUAGCAGUGAAAUGCGUAGAGAUCAGAAGGAACAUCCGUGGCGAAGGCGGCAUCCUGGGCCAACACUGACACUGAGGCACGAAAGCGUGGGGAGCAAACAGGAUUAGAAACCCUGGUAGUCC